GAUGAACGCUGGCGGCGUGCCUAAUACAUGCAAGUCGAGCGAACAGACGAGGAGUUUGCUCCUCUGACGUUAGCGGCGGACGGGUGAGUAACACGUGGAUAACCUACCUAUAAGACUGGGAUAACUUCGGGAAACCGGAGCUAAUACCGGAUAAUAUAUUGAACCGCAUGGUUCAAUAGUGAAAGACGGUUUUGCUGUCACUUAUAGAUGGAUCCGCGCCGCAUUAGCUAGUUGGUAAGGUAACGGCUUACCAAGGCGACUAUGCGUGGCCGACCUGCGAGGGUGAGCGGCAACACUGGAACUGAGACACGGUCCAGACUCCUACGGGAGGCAGCAGUAGGGAAUCUUCCGCAAUGGGCGAAAGCCUGACGGAGCAACGCCGCGUGAGUGAUGAAGGUCUUCGGAUCGUAAAACUCUGUUAUUAGGGAAGAACAAAUGUGUAAGUAACUAUGUACGUCUUGACGGUACCUAAUCAGAAAGCCACGGCUAACUACGUGCCAGCAGCCGCGGUAACAC
rnacentral:rRNA from 1 species